rnacentral:misc_RNA from 1 species
AGUAAGACGAAAUACUUCACAUAAUCAGCUGAAGGAUGAGGCGGAGACCGGGAAUCGGAGGUCUGCAGAACGCGGCGGUGGCUAGGGAUCAAUAUCGAUUGUUAGGGGAAAAUGUUGCGAAAUUGAGAACAGAUCUUAUGAAAGAGCAGCUCGCUACUUUUCGAUCUCAGCUUGAAGAUUUCGCUCGAAAACACAAGAAUGACAUUCGCAAGAACCCUGCAUUCAGGGCACAGUUCCACGAGAUGUGUGCUAAAGUCGGAGUAGAUCCUCUAGCAUCAAACAAGGGUUUCUGGGCGGAACUCUUGGGGAUUGGUGACUUCUAUUAUGAACUUGGCAGGGGUACAGAUUAUUGAGGUUUGCCUAGCUACUAGACCCCACAAUGGAGGUUUGAUAAGCUUGGAUGAUCUUUGUAAACUGCUUGGUCAGAGACGGAAAGCUGUGCGCGAGACAAUAUCUGAAGAUGAUUGCUUGCGUGCUAUAAGCAAGCUGAAGGUACUAGGUAGCGGUUUUGAGGUGAUUACAGUGGGAAAGAGAAAGCUUGUUAGAUCUGUCCCUACCGAACUGAAUAAGGAUCACAAUGAAAUUUUAGAGCUCGCGCAGGCUCAAGGUUUUGUCACUGUUGAUGAGGUACAAAGACGCCUAAACUGGUCUUCAGGUCGUGCAACUGAUGCGCUUGAAACACUGUUGGAGGAAGGGCUUGCCAUGAUCGAUGAUGGGCAUAGAGAUGGCAAACGUCGAUACUGGUUCCCUUGUGUGUCCUCUGUCUCCUCCUAUGUAGGUGCAGACACUCUUUAGCGUUUUCCUUGUUCAGAUAUGAUAUAUCUCGCUUUGCACAACGAACUUGGAGGAUUGAUGCUACUUUUUUAUCCGUUUCUGUGGUCCAAAAAGCUUUUGAUUUGCAGUUAAUGCAUAUGUUAAGUGUGUUACCGUAUUGUGUAAUCAUAGUGUUGAAUCAUUCGUUGUUAUGUCAUACUCUUACAAGCCA